GCAUAAUUAAUAUGCCAAUUGUCAAAGAAUUCAAUAACAGAUUUACAAAACUAGAUGCAGAGCCGAUGUAGGUAUUGGGGGAGAACCUAACAAAAAUCUUCUUGUCACAGAAUAAGUUAGAUAUUUUAAAAACCUGAGGCAUCCACAGUAAAAAUUAGUAAAAAUAAAUCAUCAUAAGCUCAAUGACUGACCAGUGUGCCUAGGCUGUAUGAACCCUAAUAGUGCAGAGACUCUGCCUUUCUGCAGGAGGAGCUGAAUAUUUGAAAUAUUUGAUCUGAGAGAAGGACUUCUCAUUGUUUCCAUGCUGAGUUUCAGCCCAUACUGUGCUCACGACAAACCUAAAACUUUUGGGCAGGAACCUUGGAACAUCCAACAGAAGGGGCAUUCUAUCAAGCAUCUCCCUUCCAAGAAAUACAUUAACCUGCAUGGACUGCAGCAUGUUGAAGCUGUCUGCUUUCUUUGCUCCACUCCUUUUUCACAAGACCAGGGCCAGAAUCCCCUGCAAAUGCUGGGGAUCGAUUAGCCAUCUUUGAUGAGGCAGUUGAAAUUUCUGUCACUGCUAUUCCUUCCUCUCUUUGCAGCUUGAGGAAGUGAGAUUAUUAUGGAUGUUUUUCAAACAGUGUCUGGAAGUAACUGUCUCAGGCAGAGAAGGAUACUCUGUAGAGGUUCCUUUUUUCUUUGCAAGUUCAGCUCAUGUUUCGGGACCGUGGGGCAGGAGGUAAAGUAGCAUGUGCUAUUUACAGGCAACAAUUACACCAGUGUUAAGGGCAAACUGAGAAUAAUUUUG
rnacentral:lncRNA from 1 species